UUCUAUCCUUUCUUUUUUCCUUCAGUGAGUAUAUUUCUUGGACUAUGUCUGUGCUUGUUUCUCUCCUGUGCCUGUUUCUCUUCUUUGUGUUUCCCCAGUGAUGCCUAUGGGCAGGGGCUGACAGGAAAUAACUCUGUUGAAAGAGCUGCUCAUCUUCUUGUUAAUAAUGCUUCUUCCAUGUCUUCCUGAAGGAAGAGAUUUUGUCCUGAGUGGAGUGUGGCAAGAGAGAGAUUCUGCUUUUCUCGGGAAGCUCAGCUAUAUACCAGCUUCUCCACGAUGCCAGAGUGAGAGAGACCACUGCUGAUCGUGCUGAGGCACAGCUGAAAGAGUUCCUUUCAGGGAAGCAGAUCCAAAAAUGGAGUCACUG
rnacentral:lncRNA from 1 species